GAGUUUGAUCCUGGCUCAGGAUGAACGCUGGCGGCGUGCUUAACACAUGCAAGUCGAACGAACCUUCGGGUUAGUGGCGGACGGGUGAGUAACGCGUGGGAAUCUGCCCUCAGGAGGGGGAUAACGGCCGGAAACGGCCGCUAAUACCCCAUAUGCCGAGAGGUGAAAUGAAUUUCGCCUGAGGAUGAGCCCGCGUCUGAUUAGCUAGUUGGUGAGGUAAGAGCUCACCAAGGCAUCGAUCAGUAGCUGGUCUGAGAGGAUGAUCAGCCACACUGGGACUGAGACACGGCCCAGACUCCUACGGGAGGCAGCAGUGGGGAAUUUUCCGCAAUGGGCGAAAGCCUGACGGAGCAACGCCGCGUGAGGGAUGAAGGCCUCUGGGCUGUAAACCUCUUUUAUCAAGGAAGAAGAUCUGACGGUACUUGAUGAAUAAGCCACGGCUAAUUCCGUGCCAGCAGCCGCGGUAAUACGGGAGUGGCAAGCGUUAUCCGGAAUUAUUGGGCGUAAAGCGUCCGCAGGCGGCCCAACAAGUCUGCUGUUAAAAAGUGGAGCUUAACUCCAUCAUGGCAGUGGAAACUGUUGGGCUAGAGUGUGGUAGGGGCAGAGGGAAUUCCCGGUGUAGCGGUGGAAUGCGUAGAUAUCGGGAAGAACACCAGUGGCGAAGGCGCUCUGCUGGGCCAUCACUGACGCUCAUGGACGAAAGCCAGGGGAGCGAAAGGGAUUAGAUACCCCUGUAGUCCUGGCCGUAAACGAUGAACACUAGGUGUCGGGGGAAUCGACCCCUCCGGUGUCGUAGCCAACGCGUUAAGUGUUCCGCCUGGGGAGUACGCACGCAAGUGUGAAACUCAAAGGAAUUG
rnacentral:rRNA from 1 species